CAGCAGGCCCUAUCCUCAUCAUCUGGGACUUGCAUCACUGCUGUACCAUCCAUCAGAAAUGGUCCUAAAAGCCUGGUGUCAGUAGAUUGGCUUUGCGGUGCAUCAGCAAGUGGACUCAAGUUUGGGGACACGGGUUCGAGCCCUGGUCUGGGAAGAUCCCACAUGCCACGGAGCAACUAGGCCCGUGAACCACAACUACUGAGCCUGCGCGUCUGGAGCUUGUGCUCCGCAACAAGAGAGGCAGCGACAGUGAGAGGCCCGUGCACUGCGAUGAAGAGUGGCCCCCGCUCGCCGCAACUGGAGAAAGCCCUCGCACAGAAACGAAGACCCA